rnacentral:rRNA from 1 species
GUCGACGGCAGCACGGGAGCAAUCCUGGUGGCGAGUGGCGAACGGGUGAGUAAUGUAUCGGAACGUACCUUUCAGUGGGGGAUAACGUAGCGAAAGUUACGCUAAUACCGCAUAUUCUGUGAGCAGGAAAGCAGGGGAUCGCAAGACCUUGCGCUGAUUGAGCGGCCGAUAUCAGAUUAGCUAGUUGGUGGGGUAAAAGCCCACCAAGGCGACGAUCUGUAGCUGGUCUGAGAGGACGACCAGCCACACUGGAACUGAGACACGGUCCAGACUCCUACGGGAGGCAGCAGUGGGGAAUUUUGGACAAUGGGCGCAAGCCUGAUCCAGCAAUGCCGCGUGCAGGACGAAGGCCUUCGGGUUGUAAACUGCUUUUGUACGGAACGAAAAAGUCUGCCCUAAUACGGUGGGCUCAUGACGGUACCGUAAGAAUAAGCACCGGCUAACUACGUGCCAGCAGCCGCGGUAAUACGUAGGGUGCAAGCGUUAAUCGGAAUUACUGGGCGUAAAGCGUGCGCAGGCGGUUUUGUAAGACAGAUGUGAAAUCCCCGGGCUCAACCUGGGACCUGCAUUUGUGACUGCAAAGCUAGAGUACGGCAGAGGGGGAUGGAAUUCCGCGUGUAGCAGUGAAAUGCGUAGAGAUGUGGAGGAACACCGAUGGCGAAAGCAGCCCCCUGGGCCAAUACUGACGCUCAUG